ACAAAAGUCUCCCAAACUCAUUGUAGGAUUGUAGGUGCUUCCCUAAAGCUAUGCAUACAGUUGAAAAGGAUGAUAUCCCUCAAAACAGAAGGGCCUAUCUUCUUAGAUCAAGGGCAUAGGAGUAACUGUGCUUUUCUGUUAGAACCUCCAGACAAGCUUUCAAGGUAUUGGGAUAUUUUAUGGCAGUAAAAAGACAAUGAUUAUGUAUUGGCUUAUUU
rnacentral:snRNA from 1 species